rnacentral:rRNA from 1 species
AGACCCGAAACCCGGUGAUCUAGCCAUGGGCAGGUUGAAGGUUGGGUAACACUAACUGGAGGACCGAACCGACUAAUGUUGAAAAAUUAGCGGAUGACCUGUGGCUGGGGGUGAAAGGCCAAUCAAACCGGGAGAUAGCUGGUUCUCCCCGAAAGCUAUUUAGGUAGCGCCUCGUGAAUUCAUCUCCGGGGGUAGAGCACUGUUUCGGCUAGGGGGCCAUCCCGGCUUACCAACCCGAUGCAAACUGCGAAUACCGGAGAAUGUUAUCACGGGAGACACACGGCGGGUGCUAACGUCCGUCGUGAAGAGGGAAACAACCCAGACCGCCAGCUAAGGUCCCAAAGUCAUGGUUAAGUGGGAAACGAUGUGGGAAGGCCCAGACAGCCAGGAUGUUGGCUUAGAAGCAGCCAUCAUUUAAAGAAAGCGUAAUAGCUCACUGGUCGAGUCGGCCUGCGCGGAAGAUGUAACGGGGCUAAACCAUGCACCGAAGCUGCGGCAGCGACACUGUGUGUUGUUGGGUAGGGGAGCGUUCUGUAAGCCUGUGAAGGUGUGUCGUGAGGCAUGCUGGAGGUAUCAGAAGUGCGAAUGCUGACAUAAGUAACGAUAAAGCGGGUGAAAAGCCCGCUCGCCGGAAGACCAAGGGUUCCUGUCCAACGUUAAUCGGGGCAGGGUGAGUCGACCCCUAAGGCGAGGCCGAAAGGCGUAGUCGAUGGGAAAUGGGUUAAUAUUCCCGUACUUGGUGUUACUGCGAAGGGGGGACGGAGAAGGCUAUGUUGGCCGGGCGACGGUUGUCCCGGUUUAAGCGUGUAGGUGUGUGUUCCAGGUAAAUCCGGUUCACUUUAACACUGAGGCGUGACGACGAGGCACUACGGUGCUGAAGCAACAAAUGCCCUGCUUCCAGGAAAAGCCUCUAAGCAUCAGGUAACAUCAAAUCGUACCCCAAACCGACACAGGUGGUCAGGUAGAGAAUACCAAGGCGCUUGAGAGAACUCGGGUGAAGGAACUAGGCAAAAUGGUGCCGUAACUUCGGGAGAAGGCACGCUGACACGUAGGUGAAGUGAUUUACUCAUGGAGCUGAAGUCAGUCGAAGAUACCAGCUGGCUGCAACUGUUUAUUAAAAACACAGCACUGUGCAAACACGAAAGUGGACGUAUACGGUGUGACGCCUGCCCGGUGCCGGAAGGUUAAUUGAUGGGGUCAGCGCAAGCGAAGCUCCUGAUCGAAGCCCCGGUAAACGGCGGCCGUAACUAUAACGGUCCUAAGGUAGCGAAAUUCCUUGUCGGGUAAGUUCCGACCUGCACGAAUGGCGUAAUGAUGGCCAGGCUGUCUCCACCCGAGACUCAGUGAAAUUGAACUCGCUGUGAAGAUGCAGUGUACCCGCGGCAAGACGGAAAGACCCCGUGAACCUUUACUAUAGCUUGACACUGAACAUUGAGCCUUGAUGUGUAGGAUAGGUGGGAGGCUUUGAAGUGUGGACGCCAGUCUGCAUGGAGCCGACCUUGAAAUACCACCCUUUAAUGUUUGAUGUUCUAACGUGGACCCGUUACCCGGGUUGCGGACAGUGUCUGGUGGGUAGUUUGACUGGGGCGGUCUCCUCCUAAAGAGUAACGGAGGAGCACGAAGGUUGGCUAAUCCUGGUCGGACAUCAGGAGGUUAGUGCAAUGGCAUAAGCCAGCUUGACUGCGAGCGUGACGGCGCGAGCAGGUGCGAAAGCAGGUCAUAGUGAUCCGGUGGUUCUGAAUGGAAGGGCCAUCGCUCAACGGAUAAAAGGUACUCCGGGGAUAACAGGCUGAUACCGCCCAAGAGUUCAUAUCGACGGCGGUGUUUGGCACCUCGAUGUCGGCUCAUCACAUCCUGGGGCUGAAGUAGGUCCCAAGGGUAUGGCUGUUCGCCAUUUAAAGUGGUACGCGAGCUGGGUUUAGAACGUCGUGAGACAGUUCGGUCCCUAUCUGCCGUGGGCGCUGGAGAACUGAGGGGGGCUGCUCCUAGUACGAGAGGACCGGAGUGGACGCAUCACUGGUGUUCGGGUUGUCAUGCCAAUGGCACUGCCCGGUAGCUAAAUGCGGAAGAGAUAAGUGCUGAAAGCAUCUAAGCACGAAACUUGCCCCGA